UACGAGGGGGGCAAGCGUUGUUCGGAAUUAUUGGGCGUAAAGGGCGCGUAGGCGGCUCAUGAAGGCUGUGGUGAAAGUCCGGGGCUCAACCUCGGAUCGGCCGUGGCGACUCGUGGGCUGGAGCACUGUAGAGGCGGGUGGAAUUCCGGGUGUAGCGGUGAAAUGCGUAGAUAUCAGGAGGAACACCGGUGGUGUAAACGGCUUUCUGGACCAUAACUGACGCUGAGGCACGAAAGCGUGGGUAGCAAACAGG
rnacentral:rRNA from 1 species